ensembl:lncRNA
CCUCAUCCACCUCUCUUAGCUAUACCCGAUCCACCCCUCUUAGUUACACCCCAUUGGUUUUCUCCAUUAUCACUUUUGAGGGACUAUAUAAAGAAGUAACACUAUAACGUAGAAAAUGUUCAAAACUGACCAUGUGCACACGCAUUAGAAAUUUUUUCAGGUUUGACUUGAUGUAAUGUUUUGACCAGGUCUUAAUUUAAUUUUUAAAAACAAAGGAGCAGCCCUGUGUAGUCUCCCAUGCUGGUUAUUUUUGCUGAAUGGAUGAAGGAUAAGACUUCAGUUUCGAUCAGAACCUGCUGUCAUUAUGUCCUUAUGGAUGCCAUGUUAACUUGUCAACCUGUCCAGUGGGAUGAUGGGUAUCUAAGAAGACCAAAGGGAAAGAAGAGUCAUAGUGAGUGUUUAGGAAGAGAAUGCUUACAAAGCAGGCUCUGAAUGGAGCAACACUGCCAUCUAGCACACUGUACGCUCCGUCUACCUAGAGUUAUACUUAGCAGAUGACACAAAAAUCUUAACAGAUGGCAGGUUUGAUAUACAAGCACUAUAUGAAAUUGUAUGGCAUAUAAAUGCAAAUCACCUUGUACAAUUAUUAUCUGAAUAUACAUAUAUUUUGGUAAUUGAGGUGCAUUUCGCUAUCUUCUAUAUUAAACAUAAUCCUGUUAAAACAUUUCCCAUGUAAUGUGUGCAGUGUUCAAACAUCUGACAGAGGAGACACCUGCAAAUGUGGAACAACCCAGCAGAGAAGCGCAGAAACCAACCACACCCAAAGCUCCCAAGAGCAAAGAGAAGGAAAAAGAGAAGGAAAAAGUAAAGGAAAAAGAGAAAGAAAAAGAGAAAGACAAACAUACAUCCAAGAGUUUGGAUGAGAGUAAGCCCCACUGGAUGCUGCGUGUGGUCAGUGAACAGUCAGAGGUGGAAAAGAUUGAGGUGGAAAAGGACACUGAGAGACUAGAGCAAAUUAAGGCAAUAAAACUGGCCUGGGAAGCUGCAGAGCCUGGCAGAGCAGCUAAGGCUUUUCAAACCCGUCAGCAGUACCUGAACAAUCUGAGGACGCUCGGAGAAGACUACACCCUGGACCUCACACCUUUCAUCAGGAGGACCGGCAGGCCAGAGCGUCUAAAGGAUGCAGUGAUGGAGGAGGAACAGCAGAGGGAGCGGUUGGAGAAGAUCCAGAGCUUUCGGCUGUACCGAGAGACCGUGCUGGAUCGCCGUAGGCAGGAGCAUGAGCAGACCAAGCAGCUGAUAAGGGAACAACGAGAGCUGUUUAUAAGAAUUCAGGAGGAGAAAGCUGAGCUGCUCCGGAAGUUCGAUCAGACUCGAGCGAUUAUUCGAAGGUGGAGGAGCAGUCUCGAAAGAAAGGAGAAGAGUCUCCGAAAAUAGAAGGAGUUUCUACUUAUUGAACCUUUAAAGUGUAAAACACUGAUAAGAACACAAUACAUACAGUGCAUCCGGAAAGUAUUCACAGCACUUCACUUUUGUUAUGUUACAGCCUUAUUCCAAAAUGGAUUCAAUUCAUUAUUUUCCUCAAAAUUCUACAAACA